rnacentral:rRNA from 1 species
GGUUGCGAUCAUACCAGCACUAAUGCACCGGAUCCCAUCAGAACUCCGCAGAUAAGCGUGCUUGGGCGAGAGUAGUACUAGGAUGGGUGACCACCUGGGAAGUCCUCGUGUUGCAACCCC